UAUCUUUCGAAGAUGUUGAAGUACUCGUAGUGCUGUGUGGAUCCGGACUCGGAUGCUUUGGAGUUUCUUCUGUCGAAAUUUCGUUCUAUUAUCCAAGAAUCAGUAGCGUAACACCCUAUUGCCAUCAUGCCGCUACCAGCAACUGAUGAUUAUUCAGCCGUUCAGGCUUACUUCACAGCCAAGGAAUGGGCAGAGAUCAGUGACUAUGAGAAACUUCGUCUCAAGAACAUCAAAGAAAAUUAUGAGAUGAUGAUUGAAGUUGGACUAAAGGUUAGUCCCC